rfam:Oryza rufipogon genomic scaffold, chr09
GAUUUCAACUGAAAAAGUCAUCAACAAUAAAGUUGUAUAACUCAUCAAUAUCUAUGACUUUUAUUUUGGUCAUUUCUUCACCCGAUAAAGUGAUACUAACAUUGUUCACAAAUUUUACAUAUCUCUUAUAUGGUUUUAUAAACUAUAAGAGAGAUAUAUAAAUUUUAUGAAUAAUGUUACAAUCAUUUUAUCGGAUGAAAAAAUGACCAAAAUAAAAGUUAUAGAUAUUGAUGAGUUAUACAAUUUUGUUGUUGAUGACUUUUUCAGUUGAAAUC